AAUCAAUUUUGCUCAAAUUUGAAAAUCGUUGCCGACCCAACCUUUGUGGGUCGGUUGAUGGUUGGCAACCGAAUAUUUGGUUCCGGAAUGGGUCGGUUGAUGGUUUAUACCCGCCACCUAGUUUACUU